rnacentral:rRNA from 1 species
AGUGAACGCUGGCGGUAGGCCUAACACAUGCAAUUCGAACGGCAGCACAGUAAGAGCUUGCUCUUACGGGUGGCGAGUUGCGGACGAGUGAGGAAUACAUCGGAAUCUACUUUUUCGUGGGGGAUAACGUAGGGAAACUUACGCUAAUACCGCAUACGACCUACGGGUGAAAGCAGGGGAUCUUCGGACCUUGCGCGAUUGAAUGAGCCGAUGUCGGAUUAGCUAGUUGGCGGGGUAAAGGCCCACCAAGGCGACGAUCCGUAGCUGGUCUGAGAGGAUGAUCAGCCACACUGGAACUGAGACACGGUCCAGACGCCUGAGGGAGGCAGCAGUGGGGAAUAUUGGACAAUGGGCGCAAGCCUGAUCCAGCCAGACCGCGUGGGUGAAGAAGGCCUUCGGGUUGUAAAGCCCUUUUGUUGGGAAAGAAAAGCAGCAGGUUAAUACCCCGCUGUUCUGACGGUACCAAAAGAAUAAGCACCGGCUAACUUCGUG